AUGAUCUCAAGACUAGCCAUGCACGUCUAAGUACAAACUAAAUGAUGGUGAAACUGCAAAUGGCUCAUUACAACGGUUAUGAUGUACCCGGGAGUUCCGAUGGAUAUUUCCAGUAACACUAGAACUAAUACAUGUCCCUGCGUUUAUUAGUUUCGCACAGUCCGUCGCUGAGUCAUGGUAAACAGUUGAUCGACUCGACGUCCCGGAACAGUUUCCGCCCCAUCAGCUUCGAUGGUUGGGUAUUGGCCUACCAUUGCAACAACGGGUAACGAGGAAUUAGGGUUUGAUUUCGGAGAGGGAGCCUGAGAAACGGCUACCACAUCUACGGAUGGCAGCAGGCGCGCAAAUUACCCAAUGCAGACACUGUGAGGUAGUGACGAGAAAUAAUAAAGCGGGACUUCUGUUUCGCUAUUAUAAUGAGGAAUAACCAAAGGUCAUUCCGAUUAGCAACUGAUGGGAAAGUCUGGUGCCAGCAGCCGCGGUAAUACCAGCGUCAGUAG
rnacentral:rRNA from 1 species